GAGGAAGUUCACCCAGCUUCAAAAUCCAGUUUGUGAAAAUUCACUUAAAGUUUGGGUGAGAUUUGGGGAUUAUUCAUUUUAGGAUAUACCACUACUGAUAUGUCGUCAUGUUUAUAAUCACCAUCUUCUCCAUUUCUCUUAGAAACACAGAAGCCCAGAGUUAAUUUACAAACAACUGGUGCUUCUGUUCCUCAGUCCAUGAUGACGAAGUAGCGUGAGGGCAAGAAACUUCCUGUCCAUUCACCUGCACAACCCUAGUGUUCUUACAGGGAACCAAUGAAUGAACACAUGCACAGAUGAAUAGUGUAAUAGCAUUAUUCAGGCUGAUGGAAACUGUAUUGGACAUGGAGCUUUCAGUAGGAAGGAUCAACCCAUUGCCUGUAUCAUCCCCACUUAAGCCACCAUAUAGUUUCCAGAAGCUGCUUUUGCACAUGUGCAGCCUGGCACAGGGCCAUGCCCACAGAAGUGCUCAUGCAAUAUCAGCUUGCAGUGUGCUCAUCUAUCCCAUUUUUACAACUUUAAUCUAUUAUUAUCAACUCUAUCAACACCUGGGCAAGUUUUCUUCCUUAAAAUCCAGGCAGAUGAUUAAUUAA
rnacentral:lncRNA from 1 species